UAGCUGUAAUGGCUCUGUCUGAACGGUUGAGUGCUUCGAGGUCGAGUGUCUCGUGGUCAUGGGUUCGAGUCUCGCAGUCGAUCCCUCGAUUCACCAUAACUUCCCGGAGAGGAAUCUUCGGCGGAGAUGGUGAUUAAACCGCGGUGUACCGGUGGAGGUUGGCAACAACGCACACCACGCCCGGGUCCUGGGCAGUGCGAUUGCGAUGGGAUUCGCCUUCACGGGAUUCUCGAGGAAGUCUGACCGAACGGGCGUU
rnacentral:SRP_RNA from 1 species